rnacentral:rRNA from 1 species
GCCUACGGCCAAACCACCCUGAACAUGCCCAGUCUCAUCUGAUCUCAGAAGCUAAGCAGGGUUAAUGCUGGUUAGUACUUAGAUGGGAGACUGCCUGGGAAUACUGAGUGUUGUUGUCU